UACGUAGGGGGCAAGCGUUGUCCGGAUUUAUUGGGCGUAAAGAGCGUGUAGGCGGUUUGGUAGGUCCGCUGUGAAAACUCGAGGCUCAACCUCGAGACGCCGGUGGAAACCAUCAGACUAGAGUCCGGAAGAGGAGAGUGGAAUUCCUGGUGUAGCGGUGAAAUGCGCAGAUAUCGGGAGGAACACCAAUGGCGAAGGCAGGUCUCUGGGCCACUACUGACGCUGAGAAGCGAAAGCAUGGGGAGCGAACAGG
rnacentral:rRNA from 1 species